rnacentral:lncRNA from 1 species
AAUAAAAUUAUCACUAAACUAGUGGACAAUUUUUCUGUGCUUAACAGUGUUUUUAAAGAAGAAGGUGCAUAAAAUGUUGGGAGGUGAAAAUAACGUGAAAGCAAAGUGAUAAUAGUGAUUUUUUACUUGGAAGCGGCAAUGCUGUAUUCUGAUGCACAUGCUUAAUUUUCUUUUAAGAAAGAAAUACCAGUAUCCUUAUUAUUACACACUGUACGAUUUAAUAUUUGGCAUGAUUUGGCCAAGUUGUGCGAACUUGGUACCAAUUUGAAACCAGUAAUAGAUUAACUUCCUUGUUUAUUACUGCAUUGAAGCCUAUCCCAUUCAAGUAUUAGGCUACAAAGUCAUGCACUAAUCAAACAUCUAAUUUAUUUAUUGUAAUUUGUUUAUUGAUGUACCUAAAUAGAACUAUGUUGGUAAUUAGUAAAAAUUUAAUAAACGUUGUAAACAAUCACUUCCGAGAGGUUACUACUUAAGUACUUGAAAAAUUGUACAUACUUAUAAAUAUUUGUGAAUGUUUGUGUAUGAGGGUUAAAUAUAAGUUGUUCACAAAAUAUUUUGGUAUUGGUAUUUUAACCCAAAAUAUAAAUGCCAAAGACCAAAGUUUUGCCAAGGACACUUAUCAUAAACAAACUAAGGAUUUAUCUCACUGUUAGAUAAUUUACAUACCAACACUGUUAUUUUAAAAACAGUUGAUUUGUUUUAGUUACAAGUUACAUAAUUUAUUCAUUGUUGACCUGUGUAACAUUUGGUCAAAAGUACUUACUAGACAUUAAAAACUCAAAUCACUUAGGAUUGCCAUGUUGUGUAUAAAAAUUAAGGUUUUUCCUUACAGAAGAACUAUAUGCAACAUAUCUUGACUCGUUUUAAAAAAAUGGUUGUUAUAAUACCUAUUCCAAUUGUAUUAUCAUCACAGUAUAGGCACUUAAUCUCACAUAGUAUAGUCAAACCUGCUUAUUAGAAUACAGGUAUGAUUCCGACAAUGACUGUAGACGGCAGUUAGAGUUGUCACCAUAACACCAUCAUUACUUUGCGCUAUUAAUUUGUAUAUUUAUUACAACUACUGUUUGUCAGAACUUCAGUUGCUAAUAAAAAUACAAAUUAAUAGUGCAAAGUAAUGAUGUCAUGGCGACAACUUUAACUACUGUCUGCAGUCGUAGUCGGAAUCAUACCUUACCGGUUAUAGGAAUAUCCCACUUUAAGGAGUAGAAAUUUGUCACAAAACAUUUUUACUAUAGUUUGUUUUUUAACCAAGAGGAGUGAUUCAAAUUUACUGCGCUGUAUUGCUUGUUUGUAAUUGGUCCAACCACAGGCAAGUUUACUCCACUGUUAUAAAAUUUUGACACUAAUGACAUUUAUCAAAUUUUGACACUAGUGACAUUUCAUAGGUUAAUGGCAGCUAAUCUGGAAAGCUCAAUGUAGGUGGCGCUUGUGUAGUUGGAGGUCACGUCAACUUACGUCAACUAUUCAAAUCAAUAUGUUUCUAAAUAAAUAUUGCAUAUUUGUGUGGGGGUGUGAAUUUAAUUUGAGAAAAUAAAAUGCCUCAAUGUUGUGCGGUGCAUUUGCGCUUAUUAAGAACAUUAGUAUACAGGUUUCCCAAAGAUAUUCUGAUGAGAAAAAAGUGGAUUGUAGCAAUAGGGAGGGAUAAAUAUCUCCCGACAAUAAAUGCAUGUAUCUAAACAUUUGGUUGAAACAGAUUAUUACGUAUUGUCCCUGGAUUCGACUGUAAAAAAUCGAAUACUUCACUACGAAACUCAGAUCAACAUAAAUAUUUUUAUUUUGGUGUGAUCUAAAGAAAUAAAAUAUUAAGACAUGAUUAAUAUAGCUUACCCUUUGAUAAGGGCUUCCUUUUUUCCAGUAACUCCCGGAAUCCAGCAAAAAGAAUAUCAAAAGAAAAUGGAAGAACUAAAACUUAUUAAUGAAAAGGCGCUUCAAGAUACAUAUUGAUCAAUUACGAAAUAAAUUAAAGAUCUCCAACGAAAGAUUACAAAAAUUAGAAAGAGAGGGUGGAAGAAGAAAAAAUAUUGUGAUUCAAGGACUUCAGAUUGACACCGAUCAACCACUCUUGCUAGGGAAUGAGGUAGAAAAAUUCACAGAAAAGGAAAUGCGAGUAAAAGUAAAUGUUAAUGAAGCAAGAAAACUGGGAGACAAAAUACUUAUAUUUAGUAGAGAUGGAUAGCAAGACAGAAAAGACCUAAGUAAUGCAAAAUAAGAUGAAACUCAAGCAACUGAGAGAAAUAAUAUUCAUAAAUGAUGAUCUGACGAAGGACAGAAAGGGAAAUAAUGGCCAAAAUAAGAAAAAUUGCUAAUGAAGAGAAAAUCAAAGGAAAUAGCACAAAAACGUGAUACCAAAGACUGACAAUAAACAAUGAAUUGAAGCUAUUAAUGCAAGAAGGUGUUAACCAGCAAAUUACAUAAUGUGAGAUAAUUAAGUUCAAAGUUUAUUGACUAGAACUUUUUUGCUAAUAAUUCAAUUUGCAUUUUACAAAAACAAGUGUUAAGUAAAUGAAACCACAAUUUUUUGAGGAUACGUAUAGUCCUAUAAAUCAAUAAGACUAAGGGGUGUAUUCUGUAACACUUCCGUUAAAUUUUAGUGGCCUCUAAAAUUUUAGCGCCCGCUAAAAAUAUUUUGGUAUUCUGUAAAUCAUACAUCCGUUAAAAUCAUAACCUAAACCGUUAAAACUUCCUCUAAAUAAAAAUAUUUUAGAGGAUGUCAAAACGUACCCGCUAAAUUUUUAGCAGUCCGUUAAAUGUGGUUUGAUUAUUUUUGUUGGGUUAUGUUUGUAUGAAUAGUAGUUUGUUAUUCUUGUAUUAUACUGGAGAUAAAUAUUUAAAAAUGGAAAAUGGCUUUUUAUAAUGUAUUUGGCGAAGAAGUACUUAAUAAAUAAUAAUGAAAGAGCUGAUUUCAGAUUACAACAUAAACACAAAGUAAAUAAUUGACCUGAAAGUAAAUAACUACAAUUACCAUUUCAAAGGAAGUAGGUACCUACCUAAGUAUCUAGAAAUGUUAUUGAAAAAGUGUUGGAAGUCAAAGAUGUUUGUCAAAGCAAUGAAAUCCUAUUAAUGCAGGUAAAAUUAUUUAAAGUUAUUGUGGAACAUUACAAAACGUACCAAAUGAUUACAAAGGUAAAGUUUCAGAAGGUUUAUAACCAGAUGCAGAUUAAUAAGAUGACCUUAAUGUUAUUGAAAAUAGACCAUUUAUUUGACCAAAAUUAGUGUCGAAGGGGAGAAGAAAAAUAAGAUAUGCAUUUUUUCAGCAAUAUUUUAAUGUAUAACUUUAUAAAUAAAAAUGUUUAAUUGGAAAAUAUGAGUUUUACUAAAAAAUAAUUAAAUAUAAUAAAUAUUAUUUUCUAGGAAACUGUCAUUUUCUUCUUCUUCUUAAGGUUUUUGGCCUCUAACAGUCAGUUUUCGGUCAAUCUCUAGGUUAAAAGUAGUUCAAAACGAUCAACGUGCGACGUUGCCGUAUUUGUUCCAAAACCUUUUAGAGGAUUCCUCUAAAAUAAUAUUAUUUUAGCGGUCCUCUAUAAUAUGUGUUU